rnacentral:SRP_RNA from 1 species
GCCAGGCAUGGUGGCGGGUGCCUGUAAUCCCAGCUACCUGGGAGGCUGAGGCAGGAGAAUCACUGGAACCUGGGAGACGGAUGCUGAGGUGGAGUCUGCAGCGAGCUGAGAUUGCACCACUGCACUCUAGCCUGGGGAACAGAGCGAGACUCCGUCUCAA